rnacentral:rRNA from 1 species
ACAGCAGCCGCCACGGGAAUACAGAGGGUGCAAGCGUUAAUCGGAAUUACUGGGCGUAAAGCGCGCGUAGGUGGUUUGUUAAGUUGGAUGUGAAAGCACCGGGCUCAACCUGGGAACUGCAUCCAAAACUGGCAAGCUAGAGUACGGUAGAGGGUGGUGGAAUUUCCUGUGUAGCGGUGAAAUGCGUAGAUAUAGGAAGGAACACCAGUGGCGAAGGCGACCACCUGGACUGAUACUGACACUGAGGUGCGAAAGCGUGGGGAGCAAACAGGAUUAGAUACCCGAGUAGUCCCUGUCUCUUAUAA